rnacentral:rRNA from 1 species
UGGCGGACGGGUGAGUAACGCGUGGAAAACCUGCCGUAUACUGGGGGAUAACACUUAGAAAUAGGUGCUAAUACCGCAUAAGCGCACAGCUUCGCAUGAAGCAGUGUGAAAAACUCCGGUGGUAUACGAUGGUUCCGCGUCUGAUUAGGUAGUUGGCGGGGUAACGGCCCACCAAGCCGACGAUCAGUAGCCGACCUGAGAGGGUGACCGGCCACAUUGGGACUGAGACACGGCCCAGACUCCUACGGAAGGCAGCAG